rnacentral:rRNA from 1 species
CAGCCGCCGCGGUAAUACGAAGGGUGCAAGCGUUACUCGGAAUUACUGGGCGUAAAGCGUGCGUAGGUGGUGGUUUAAGUCCGUUGUGAAAGCCCUGGGCUCAACCUGGGAAUUGCAGUGGAUACUGGGUCACUAGAGUGUGGUAGAGGAUAGUGGAAUUUCCGGUGUAGCAGUGAAAUGCGUAGAGAUCGGAAGGAACAUCUGUGGCGAAGGCGACUAUCUGGGCCAACACUGACACUGAGGCACGAAAGCGUGGGGAGCAAACAGGAUUAGAUACCCCAGUAGUCCCUGUCUCUUAUCA